ACAUGCCUACAACAUAGCAUUAAUACAUAGGAUUACAUUAGAACUCCGUAGUUAAGCACGCUCAGGCUAGACUAGUAUUGGGAUGGGUGACCACCCACAAAGUCCUAGUGUUUUACAUGCC
rnacentral:rRNA from 1 species